rnacentral:rRNA from 1 species
CGCCUGUUUAACAAAAACAUUUCUUUUUGAUUAUUUAAAAGGUAUCUUCUGCCCUAUGAGUAGUUUUAAAUGGCUGCAGUAUUUUGACUGUGCAAAGGUAGCAUAGUAAUUAGUUUCUUAAUUAGGAGCUUGAAUGAAUGGAUGGAUGAGAUGUAUAUUUUAUUAACUUUUUUGUUAAAAAUUUAAAUUUAAGUAAAAAUGCUUAAGUAAUUUUUUGGGACGAUAAGACCCUAUAGAACUUUAUAUUGACUUUGUUAUUUGGUUUUUAGUAUAUUAACUCUAUUAACAUAUUUAAUGUUUUGCUGGGGUGGUGAAUAAAUUUAAACUUUAUUUUGUUAAAUCAAUUUUAAUUGUUAUUUUAGGUCUUCAUUAGAAAUUAUAAGAAUAAGUUACCUUAGGGAUAACAGCGUAAUCUUAAUGGAAAGUUCACAUUUAUAUUAAGGGUUGCGACCUCGAUGUUGAAUUAAGAUUAGUUAGAGAAGCAGUUUUCUUUACUUUAGGUCUGUUCGACCUUUAAAUUCUUACCUUGAUCUGAGUUCAGACCGG